rnacentral:rRNA from 1 species
CCUACGGGCGGCAGCAGUGGGGAAUAUUGGGCAAUGGGCGCAAGCCUGACCCAGCGACGCCGCGUGAGGGAAGAAGGCUUUCGGAUUGUAAACUUCUGUUCUCAGGGACGAAGGAAGUGACGGUACCUGAGGAAUGAGCCACGGCUAACUCCGUGCCAGCAGCCGCGGUAAUACGUGGGUGGCAAGCGUUAUACGGAUUUAGUGGGUGUAAAGGGCGUGUAGGCGGGAGCGCAAGUCAGAGGUGAAAACUCAGGGCUCAACGCGGGGACUGCAUUUGAAACUGGGUUACUGGAGUGCGGGAGAGGAUAGAGGAAUUCCGGGUGUAGGGGUGAAAUGCGUAGAUAUACGGAGGAACAUCAGUGGCGAAGGCGGAUUGCUGGCACGUAACUGACGCUGAGGCGCGAAAGCGUGGGGAGCAAACAGGAUUAGAUACCCUAGUAGUC